rnacentral:rRNA from 1 species
CAGUAGCCGCGGUAACACCGAGGGUGCGAGCGUUAAUCGGAUUUACUGGGCGUAAAGCGUGCGUAGGCGGCUUCUUAAGUCGGAUGUGAAAUCCCUGAGCUUAACUUAGGAAUUGCAUUCGAUACUGGGAAGCUAGAGUAUGGGAGAGGAUGGUAGAAUUCCAGGUGUAGCGGUGAAAUGCGUAGAGAUCUGGAGGAAUACCGAUGGCGAAGGCAGCCAUCUGGCCUAAUACUGACGCUGAGGUACGAAAGCAUGGGGAGCAAACAGGAUUAGAGACCCCUGUAGUCCCUGUCUCUUAUAA